rnacentral:rRNA from 1 species
GACAGAGGGUGCAAACGUUGUUCGGAAUUACUGGGCGUAAAGCGCGUGUAGGCGGCAAUAUAAGUCGGAUGUGAAAUCCCGCGGCUCAACCGUGGAAGUGCACCCGAAACUGUAUCGCUAGAGUCCCGGAGAGGAUGGUGGAGUACUUGGUGUAGAGGUGAAAUUCGUAGAUAUCAAGUGGAACACCGGUGGCGAAGGCGGCCAUCUGGACGGUGACUGACGCUGAGACGCGAAAGCGUGGGUAGCAAACAGG